rnacentral:rRNA from 1 species
GAUGAACGCUGGCGGCGUGCCUAAUACAUGCAAGUCGAGCGAACGGACGAGAAGCUUGCUUCUCUGAUGUUAGCGGCGGACGGGUGAGUAACACGUGGAUAACCUACCUAUAAGACUGGGAUAACUUCGGGAAACCGGAGCUAAUACCGGAUGAUAUUUUGAACCGCAUGGUUCAAAAGUGAAAGACGGUCUUGCUGUCACUUAUAGAUGGAUCCGCGCUGCAUUAGCUAGUUGGUAAGGUAACGGCUUACCAAGGCAACGAUGCAUAGCCGACCUGAGAGGGUGAUCGGCCACACUGGAUCUGAGACACGGUCCAGACUCCUACGGGAGGCAGCAGUAGGGAAUCUUCCGCAAAGGGCGAAAGCCUGACGGAGCAACGCCGCGUGAGUGAUGAAGGUCUUCGGAUCGUAAAACUCUGUUAUUAGGGAAGAACAUAUGUGUAAGUAACUGUGCACAUCUUGACGGUACCUAAUCAGAAAGCCACGGCUAACUACGUG